rnacentral:rRNA from 1 species
AUACAGAGUCGGACCUGCCCAGUGAGUUGUAUUAACGGCCGCGGUACUCUGACCGUGCAAAGGUAGCAUAAUCAUUUGCCCUAUAAUUGAGGGCUAGUAUGAAUGGUUUGACAAGAACAAAACUGUCUCUCUAAAAUUAAUUAGAAUUUAACCUCUAGGUGAAGAUGCCUAGAUUUAAUUGAUAGACAAGAAGACCCUAUCGAGCUUUAAAUAAGUUUAUUAAAAGGUAAAAAAUUGAUUAAUAUUUUUAAUUAAUUUACAUUUUAGUUGGGGCGACUAAGGAACAAACAAAGCUUCUUUAUCUAUUAAAAACUUUUAAGUUUUGAUCCAGAAUUUUUGAUUAAAAGAAUUAGUUACCGUAGGGAUAACAGCAUAAUCUUUUUUGAGAGCUCUUAUCGAAAAAAAGGUUUGUGACCUCGAUGUUGGACUAAAAUAUCCUAAAGAUGUAGAAGUCUUUAAGGGUUGGUCUGUUCGACCAUUA